rnacentral:rRNA from 1 species
GGGGAAUAUUGGGCAAUGGGCGAAAGCCUGACCCAGCAACGCCGCGUGAAGGAAGAAGGCCUUCGGGUUGUAAGCUUCCUUGACCAGGGACGAAACAAAUGACGGUACCUGGAAAACAAGCCACGGCUAACUACGUGCCAGCAGCCGCGGUAAUACGUAGGUGGCAAGCGUUAUCCGGAUUUACUGGGUGUAAAGGGCGUGUAGGCGGUUUUGUAAGUCGGAUGUGAAAUUCCCAGGCUUAACCUGGGCGCUGCAUCCGAAACUACAGAACUUGAGUACUGGAGAGGAUAGUGGAAUUCCUAGUGUAGCGGUAAAAUGCGUAGAUAUUAGGAGGAACAUCAGUGGCGAAGGCGACUAUCUGGACAGUAACUGACGCUGAGGCGCGAAAGCGUGGGGAGCAAAC